ACCUCGAUGGUGAAACUUGGUAAACACAGUAGAUUUAAAAUCUGCCGUUCCGAAAGGAACUUGGGGGUUCGAUUCCCCUUCGAGGUA
rnacentral:tRNA from 1 species